rnacentral:rRNA from 1 species
UACGGGGGGGAGCAAGCGUUGUUCGGAUUUACUGGGCGUAAAGAGCUCGUAGGCGGUUUGUCGCGUCUGCCGUGAAAGUCCGGGGCUCAACUCCGGAUCUGCGGUGGGUACGGGCAGACUAGAGUGAUGUAGGGGAGACGUGGAAUUCCUGGUGUAGCGGUGAAAUGACGCAGAUAUCAGGAGGAACACCGGUGGCGAAGGCGGGUCUCUGGGCCGAUACUGACGCUGGAGGAGCGGAAAGCCAGGGGAGCGAACGGG